UACAGGGGGGGCAAGCGUUGUUCGGAAUUACUGGGCGUAAAGGGCUCGUAGGUGGCCAACUAAGUCAGACGUGAAAUCCCUCAGCUUAACUGGGGAACUGCGUCUGAUACUGGAUGGCUUGAGUUUGGGAGAGGGAUGCGGAAUUCCAGGUGUAGCGGUGAAAUGCGUAGAUAUCAGGAAGAACACCCGUGGCGAAGGCGGCUCUCUGGGACGGUACUGACGCUGAGACGCGAAAGCGUGGGGAGCGAACAGG
rnacentral:rRNA from 1 species